CAGUAGCCGCGGGAAUACGUAGGUCCCGAGCGUUGUCCGGAUUUAUUGGGCGUAAAGCGAGCGCAGGCGGUUAGAUAAGUCUGAAGUUAAAGGCUGUGGCUUAACCAUAGUACGCUUUGGAAACUGUUUAACUUGAGUGCAAGAGGGGAGAGUGGAAUUCCAUGUGUAGCGGUGAAAUGCGUAGAUAUAUGGAGGAACACCGGUGGCGAAAGCGGCUCUCUGGCUUGUAACCGACGCUGAGGCUCGAAAGCGUGGGGAGCAAACAGGAUUAGAUACCCGUGUAGUCCCUGUCUCUUAUACA
rnacentral:rRNA from 1 species